AUCCUCUUUCUGUCUACCAACUACAACCAUAACCAAUACAAAAUGUGUCCAGAUUCAAUGAACUUCCCCAAUCCCCCUAAUAUAAUUAUCACACUUUUUUUGGUUAUUUAUAUAUUUUUCUUUAAACCUUUCCCACUCUCCAAAGAGCCAUAAAAAUCUAUCAAACUGCAAAGAAACACAAAUUCCUUCAUUCUGAAGAUUCUUCAAAGCUUCUUCAUCCUCUUCAUCAACCUCUCAUCUCCACUUAAAGAUGUACUUGUAACUUGUUAGAAUGAUCGCAAAUAUCAACAUAAAACUCUAGCGAGUUGAUUGCUAUUCAUAUAGAGCUUGAAAGGUGCAAUUCCAUAGCUUCGAAAAUGGCUGUCUUUCCCAAGGAUCAUCAAACUAGGCGACCUAAGUCAUCAACUUACAAAGAUCAUCAUAACCAUAGUCUAUGAUGAUGGUGGAGAGAAAUAUGAGAGUCGUCCCUCGUACAAAACUCGAAUGGAUCAAAAGACCAAGAACAACUAAAAGAAGAAGGGGCGAUUUAACAAUAUGAGAAUGCAUAAUCUCACAUAAUGCAGUUUCCUUUGAUUUAUUGCUAUAUGCUCCUUCUCUUUUAAUAUCUAUGCUCAUAUAUUGAUCAACAGACAGAUCCGAUCCAACGUUGGUUGUACUUGGAGGAGUUCCCCUUAACCAUACUUCAAAAGAAAUCUCUUCUUUUCUUUAUCAUAUCCACAUGCAUGUCUUCUAUUCAACGACGUGGAACCUUUAUAAUCCAAAGUUAAUUAUAAUAACUCUUUUAAGUUUGGCAUGCACUAAUAAUUUUUGUUAUUCUUGUAUUAUUCAAAUGUUUAUAUAAGUGUAUAAGUGCAAAAAAAAAA